rnacentral:rRNA from 1 species
AAAAGGCUCACCAAGGCGACGAUCAGUAGCGGGUCUGAGAGGAUGAUCCGCCACACUGGGACUGAGACACGGCCCAGACUCCUACGGGAGGCAGCAGUGGGGAAUUUUUGGACAAUGGGCGCAAGCCUGAUCCAGCCAUGCCGCGUGUCUGAAGAAGGCCUUCGGGUUGUAAAGGACUUUUGUCAGGGAGCAAAACUUACUGGUUAAUACCUGGUGAGGUUGAGAGUACCUGAAGAAUAAGCACCGGCUAACUACGUGCCAGCAGCCGCGGUAAUACGUAGGGUGCAAGCGUUAAUCGGAAUUACUGGGCGUAAAGCGUGCGCAGGCGGACUUUUAAGCCAGAUGUGAAAGCCCCGAGCUUAACUUGGGAAUUGCGUUUGGAACUGGGAGUCUAGAGUCUGUCAGAGGGGAUGGAAUUCCACGUGUAGCAGUGAAAUGCGUAGAGAUGUGGAGGAACACCGAUGGCGAAGGCAGUCCCCUGGGAUAAGACUGACGCUCAUGCACGAAAGCGUGGGGG